CGGAGCCUACGGGGGGCAGCAGUGGGGAAUAUUGCACAAUGGGGGAAACCCUGAUGCAGCGACGCCGCGUGAGUGAAGAAGUAUUUCGGUAUGUAAAGCUCUAUCAGCAGGGAAGAAGAAGGACGGUACCUGACUAAGAAGCCCCGGCUAACUACGUGCCAGCAGCCGCGGUAAUACGUAGGGGGCAAGCGUUAUCCGGAUUUACUGGGUGUAAAGGGAGCGUAGACGGCAGCGCAAGUCUGGAGUGAAAUGCCGGGGCCCAACCCCGGAACGGCUCUGGAAACUGUGAAGCUGGAGUGCAGGAG
rnacentral:rRNA from 1 species